rnacentral:rRNA from 1 species
UACGAAGGGGGCUAGCGUUGCUCGGAAUCACUGGGCGUAAAGGGUGCGUAGGCGGGCUUUUAAGUCAGGGGUGAAAUCCUGGAGCUCAACUCCAGAACUGCCUUUGAUACUGAGGAUCUUGAGUUCGGGAGAGGUGAGUGGAACUGCGAGUGUAGUGGUGAAAUUCGUAGAUAUUCGCAAGAACACCAGUGGCGAAGGCGGCUCACUGGCCCGAUACUGACGCUGAGGCACGAAAGCGUGGGGAGCAAACAGG